CUGGAGCUGAGGACUCGGGAAACCAUGCAAUUGAAGCAAGCCUUGGGCUGCUUUAGAGACGCUGACAUCCGAGGAGCCUUCUCCUGGGAGGUCCAAGAGCCAAGCUUAGCCCACCCGGCUCUGGGAAAGACUCGACUGGAGCUAAGGCCGCCCCGGAAGGCCAAGUCCGAGUUCCAUUUCUUGAAGAGGCCGGGGCGGGUAAGGCUGUGACAUUGGCCCUGGCGACUGGCUUCCCAGGAGCUGUUCUUUCUCAGGAGCUCCACAGCGCGGGCCAUCUCCAGAAAACUGUCUUUAGCGUGGAUUUCCUUUUAUCGUCAACCCAGAGCCCCACCGCGGCUAAUGCAAGAGGCCAAAAAUGUUUGGAGCAAGAAAAACAAAGGCAGGAAGUGGCGGCGGCCUGACGUUGCGUGUGUGUCUGCAGAGAAGGGAGGGAGCCGGUUCAGUCUCUUCUUGUUUUUCCAAACUUCAAGGUCCAGGCAGCCCUCCGCGGGGCCUGGCCCCAUCGCUCCCCGCGCGGCAUUUGGAGGUGGCCACCCGGUGAGGAGAAGGCCGACGCCCGCGCCAGACUUGUCAGGCGGAAAUGGCUAACAAGGAGAUCUGGUCAGCAAAACAGGCAAAGCCCUUCCGAGGCUUCGUCUGUGUUGGCCCCAAAGGUUGGGCAGGGCGGGGGCUUGCACAGCACCUCCGGGAUCCUCCUCGCUGAGGACCACCAUCCCUGAGGCUUACGCUUCGCUCCACUGCCUUCGCAGGCGGAAUAUCGGAAUAAAGUGUGUCCAGGCGCC